CGCCGAGCCCGGACGGAAGCGCCGAGGGGCCGGGGUCGCCAAGGGCUGCUGCGGCCCUUCCCGGAGCCCAGUGCUGGGCACGCAAGGCGCUGGCUCAGGCGCACCCAGUGGCCGCAGCUGCAGCGGGAGGAGCGCGGCGGCGCGGGGUCCUCGGAGACAGCGUUUGUCCGAGAAGCCUUCCUGGGGCGCGCCUGCGUGAUAACCAUGAGUGGAAAAAACUAUGGUCCAGCACUGGCCUGAGACAGUAUGCGAGACAGUUGAAAACGACUGUAGAGACCCUCCGGAUUACUGGACAAUACAUGGGACUAUGGCCCGAUAAAAGUGAAGGAUGUAAUGGAUCGUGGCACUUUAAUUUAGAAGAGAUUAAGGAUCUUUUGCCGGAAAUGAAGGCAUAGUGGCCUGAUGUAAUUCACUCGUUUCCCAAUCGUAGCCACUUCCGGAAGCAUGAAGAAGCAUGGGACCUCUGCCGCCCUGGUGGACGCACUCAACUCCCAGAAGUACUUUAGCAGAAGCCGGGAACUCUACAGGGAGCUGGACAGCAACAGUGUGCUCCUAAAACUGCGGCUAAAACCAUCCGUCAAUUACUACCAAGUUGCAGAUUUUAAAGAUGCCCUUGUCAGAGUGUAUGGAGUGACACCCAAAAUCCAGUGCCUUCCGCGAAGCCAGGAUGGGGAAGUACAGACAAUUGGUCAGACAGAACUUUGCCUCACUGAGCAAGGCCAGUAGCUGCAAAACUGCACCGAGCAGUGCAGCAGCCGUCCCCCAAGUAGGAAGUUUGGCUGGCGGAUGGGGCUGCCAAGAGCCGGGGUCUGAGGGUAUGUGAAGAUGGCCCAGUCUUUUAUCCCCCACCUAAAAAAAAACAAGCAUUGAUGCCCAAGUUUGGGAAAUAUUCUGUUUUAAAAAGCAAGAGAAAUUCACUUUCUGCAGCUUUCU
rnacentral:lncRNA from 1 species